GACGUGGACGGGAAAAAAAAACAAAAAUCGUUCGUUUCCGUGUCCCGCGGAAAUUAUGCUAAUCAUGCUUAUCGGUUAACAAUUACGGGCUACGCCCAUGAAUUAUGUAUCUGUGAUAAGAGUAAAGGUAAUUUAAACCAGACCAAUUGGCUCAGACACUAGAAUGCAUGUAGCAUAAAAAGAAAAUCUACCAGUACAACAACAAGCAACAUAAAAAAAUUCUUUUCGACGACAAAUGUAUUCUCCACAACAAAUCUGGGCCAGAUGCAGCUCGUGUGCCGCCAGUUGCCUACCUCUGAUAUAUAGUAAUGAAAGAUCGCUGAACCUAUCUUGAACAAACGAUGUCCUUAGCCAAGUUUUUAUUUUUUUUCAUUACACUGAA